rnacentral:rRNA from 1 species
GACGAACGCUGGCGGCGUGCCUAAUACAUGCAAGUCGAACGCAGUGGGGACGGGUGAGUAACACGUGGGUAACCGCCCAUCAGAGGGGGGAACAGUUGGAAACAGGUGCUAAACCGAUAUUGAAGGAUGGUCCCGCGUGGCAUUAGCUAGUUGGUGAGGUAACGGCGCACCAAGGCCACGAGGCAUAGCUGACCUGAGAGGGUGAUCGGCCACACUGGGACUGAGACACGGCCCAGACUCCUACGGGAGGCAGCAGUAGGGAAUCUUCCGCAAUGGACGAAAGUCUGACCGAGCAACGCCGCGUGAGUGAAGAAGGUUUUCGGAUCGUAAAACACUGUUGUUAGAGAAGCGGUAUCUAACGAGAAAGCCACGGCUAACUCCGUGCCAGCAGCCGCGGUAAUAC